AGUUCCUUAAAAUGAAAUUCUUUGUAGGAAGUGGAGAGAGAUGUUAAGGCACGUACUAAAGGUGAAACUGGAGCAGCUAAAACCCUUUGUUCUCCAUUUGAUCAGCCAGAACUCCCUGAAGGCACUCUCUGCUUUGCUUCAGGAAAGCCUGCCAAGAAAUGGACCUAUUGGGGCAGGAGUUACUAAGUGUUCAUCAUGUUUUGAUUCAAUUCAUGAAAAUUUACUUUUGUCUUGUAAAGACUCUCUCAAGUGCAUUGUGCUUUGAUCUGAUAUUUUGACCAAUUUGAGUUAUUUUGACUGUGAUUACGCUAAGAAUUAUAAAGAGUUGUCUUCUUCAUUUCCUAAA